rnacentral:misc_RNA from 1 species
GCUGUUCUUAUCGACUCUACCAGCUAAGAUGUUCCCCAGAGGUUCAGAUGUGUCAUGAUCCCAAAGAUCAACAGUAACUGGUCUUUCUUUCUCUCGUUCCCGAUUUUUAUCACGGUGAUUUCUAUUAAAACUACUGUACGGAUGCUUUAAACUAGUAGCACUAGAGCUACGCCUAGAAUUCGAUGAUGAACUGCGAUCCAAAAACACAGAACGUGGGCUAUCU